AAUGGGUCAGCGACUUAUAUUCUGUAGCAAGGUUAACCGAAUAGGGGAGCCGAAGGGAAACCGAGUCUUAACUGGGCGUUAAGUUGCAGGGUAUAGACCCGAAACCCGGUGAUCUAGCCAUGGGCAGGUUGAAGGUUGGGUAACACUAACUGGAGGACCGAACCGACUAAUGUUGAAAAAUUAGCGGAUGACUUGUGGCUGGGGGUGAAAGGCCAAUCAAACCGGGAGAUAGCUGGUUCUCCCCGAAAGCUAUUUAGGUAGCGCCUCGUGAAUUCAUCUCCGGGGGUAGAGCACUGUUUCGGCAAGGGGGUCAUCCCGACUUACCAACCCGAUGCAAACUGCGAAUACCGGAGAAUGUUAUCACGGGAGACACACGGCGGGUGCUAACGUCCGUCGUGAAGAGGGAAACAACCCAGACCGCCAGCUAAGGUCCCAAAGUCAUGGUUAAGUGGGAAACGAUGUGGGAAGGCCCAGACAGCCAGGAUGUUGGCUUAGAAGCAGCCAUCAUUUAAAGAAAGCGUAAUAGCUCACUGGUCGAGUCGGCCUGCGCGGAAGAUGUAACGGGGCUAAACCAUGCACCGAAGCUGCGGCAGCGACGCUUAUGCGUUGUUGGGUAGGGGAGCGUUCUGUAAGCCUGUGAAGGUGUGCUGUGAGGCAUGCUGGAGGUAUCAGAAGUGCGAAUGCUGACAUAAGUAACGAUAAAGCGGGUGAAAAGCCCGCUCGCCGGAAGACCAAGGGUUCCUGUCCAACGUUAAUCGGGGCAGGGUGAGUCGACCCCUAAGGCGAGGCCGAAAGGCGUAGUCGAUGGGAAACAGGUUAAUAUUCCUGUACUUGGUGUUACUGCGAAGGGGGGACGGAGAAGGCUAUGUUGGCCGGGCGACGGUUGUCCCGGUUUAAGCGUGUAGGCUGGUUUUCCAGGCAAAUCCGGAAAAUCAAGGCUGAGGCGUGAUGACGAGGCACUACGGUGCUGAAGCAACAAAUGCCCUGCUUCCAGGAAAAGCCUCUAAGCAUCAGGUAACAUCAAAUCGUACCCCAAACCGACACAGGUGGUCAGGUAGAGAAUACCAAGGCGCUUGAGAGAACUCGGGUGAAGGAACUAGGCAAAAUGGUGCCGUAACUUCGGGAGAAGGCACGCUGAUAUGUAGGUGAAGUCCCUCGCGGAUGGAGCUGAAAUCAGUCGAAGAUACCAGCUGGCUGCAACUGUUUAUUAAAAACACAGCACUGUGCAAACACGAAAGUGGACGUAUACGGUGUGACGCCUGCCCGGUGCCGGAAGGUUAAUUGAUGGGGUCAGCGCAAGCGAAGCUCUUG
rnacentral:rRNA from 1 species